CAAAAACAUGGCUCCUUGAAAUUUAAUAAUAAGGAGUCGGACCUGCCCAGUGAAUUUUUUCACGGCCGCGGUACUCUGACCGUGCAAAGGUAGCAUAAUCAUUUGCCUUAUAAUUGAAGGCUAGUAUGAAUGGUUUGACAUGAAUGUAGCUGUCUCUCUAUAAUUUAGUAGAAUUUUAUUUUCAGGUGAAGAAGCCUGUAUUUAAUUAAAAGACAAGAAGACCCUAUCGAGCUUUAAAAAAAUUGAUAGAAUUAAAAUUAAUAGCCUUAAAAAAUUAUCUAUCAAACAUUUUAGUUGGGGCGACUGAGGAACAUAAAAAGCUUCCUUUAAAAUUGAUUUAAGUCAUACAAGAAUUGAUCCAAAACAUUUUGAUUAAAGGAAUUAGUUACCGUAGGGAUAACAGCAUUAUCUUUUUUAAGAGCUCAUAUCGAAAAAAAGGUUUGUGACCUCGAUGUUGGACCAGAAUAUCCUAAAGGUGCAGCAGCCUUUAAGGGUUGGUCUGUUCGACCAUUAAAAUUCUACGUGA
rnacentral:rRNA from 1 species